AGUCGGGGUCUCCCUAUGUUUCCCAGGCUGGCCUCGAACUCCUGACCUCAAGUGAUCCUCCCACCUCAGCCUCCCAGAGUGCUGGGAUUAAAGACGUGAGCCACGGCACCUGGCCUGAAUUUUCCUCAAAUUCAAAAAAUGCUGAUGAAGGUUUGGCUAAAAUCUUUGGCUCUUCCCAACAAAAGAGCUUGAACAAUGCUGCAUUUGCCUCAGGUUCAAAUGAGCGAGAGGAACAUUUGGCUAAAAUAUUUGACACUUAAGGAAACUUUUGUCAGGUCAUUGACUAACUUCAGAGAUAAGAAAACAGAAAAUUCAGCACUUUCACACAACAAGAAGUACGCACUUUGCAAAACUAGUUUGGAAAAGUUACAAAAAAAUGGCUUCAGCCUUCAAUAAGCAAAAAUCAACAAUCACUGAAAGAGAGGAUUAGAUUUCCAGAGUUAUCAAAAUGUAAUACACAGAAUGUCCAUCUCUCAACAUAAAAUUAUAAAACAUACAAAGAAACAGGAAAGGAUGGCUCAUUCACAGGAAAAA
rnacentral:sRNA from 1 species